GGAUUCAUCCACUUAUUUUUCAAAAUUAAAUGAGUCCUAACCUUUUAAAAAUUAAUACAAACACUAGAGAUAUCACUCAAGAAAUUAUAUAUUAAUCACCUCUUGUCUUUGGGAAUUUGGUAAGCACCAAUACAGUCUAUCCUUUGACUACCACACCUCAUUAAGUCUGUUUCUAUAUAGUUAAGUAAUUCAUUGACUUUAUCAUUUCAUGAUACUAUCGGAUCCUUGAGAAACCUUCGGCAAAACUUACAUUUUGCCUAUUUCCUUUAAAACUAUCCUUCGAAAAGUCAAUUAUCAUCUCCAGCCAAUGGGAAAGGCCGUAACAGAACCCUUCAGCCAAUGAGAGAAGUUAACAAAUAUGUGCACACUUUUACCUUUGGUGGAGGUCUCUGAUUGGCCACGAAUUCUUGCUGGCCUUUAGAGGUUGGCCGGAUAAGACACCUUCAUAAUCCUUUGAACUUGCAUGGUGUCAAUAUUGUAGUAAGGGUUGUGAUACGUUCUACAGGGAAACUAUAGAAGAUUUUUACGGAAAGUGUUGUAUAAAAUAUCCCUAGUGCGGUCGGCCUUUAGUAUAAAAUAUGAGCAGAAAAGGAUGCAGCGUCAGGAAGACCUUGUUCGCGUUCUUAAAAUGUUCGAUAGAGAUGUGCUAAAUGGAAAUUUGUUGUAGAACUCAAAAAUACCUCUGCAGUGUUCCAGGUGCUGCUGUUUCAGAUCUAACUUGGCUCAGGAUAUAGGAAAUCAAAGAUUCUUCAGCAGUGAAGCCCCGCCAGAUUUAAGUCGCUUGAGAACAAGAGGAUUCGGACGAGUUGCUGAAGAAUUUGUAGACUAAUCUAUUGAUUGAAAUGGAGGAAUGCUACCUUUCUUCCUUGUGUGGUUCCUCAACUAUGCUUCGCCACUCCGGGGGAACUAGAAAAUUUGG